rnacentral:misc_RNA from 1 species
GAUGAAGAACGUAGCAAAAUGCGAUAAGUAAUGCGAAUUGCAGAAUUCAGUGAAUCAUCGAAUCUUUGAACGCACAUUGCGCCCGCCAGUAUUCUGGCGGGCAUGCCUGUUCGAGCGUCAUUUCAACCCUCAAGCACAGCUUGGUGUUGGGACUCGCGUUAAUUCGCGUUCCUCAAAUUGAUUGGCGGUCACGUCGAGCUUCCAUAGCGUAGUAGUAAAACCCUCGUUACUGGUAAUCGUCGCGGCCACGCCGUUAAACCCCAACUUCUGAAUGUUGACCUCGGAUCAGGUAGGAAUACCCGCUGAACUUAAGCAUAUCAAUAAGCGGAGGA